rnacentral:misc_RNA from 1 species
CUCGGCGUGUCGCGUCAGGCCGCGUGGGAACGGUUCUCCUGAGCCGUUUGAACAACGGCAAAACUGGCGAGAUCGAAGCGGCAUGAUUCCGAAGAUCAAACCUCCAGGGCUUGAAGGCGACCAAACGGCGCGGCCGUGGGGCAAGCCUGCGGGCGAUGCGCCGCCGCCGCAGGCCAGUCCGUCCCGCGCAGCCGAAGAUCGCUGUGGUCUGUUCUGUUCGUGGUGCUGCUGAUCGCAACCUACGGCGUGAGUGCGUAUCGAGAUCUUUCUUCGCCGGGUGCGUGGUCGUACUGGAGUGAUCUUUUCGGUUCGCCGAGCAUGACGGCAACGGCUGUCACCAUGGCAGACGGCCGCAAGGGACUCGCAAUUCAGGGGCAGAUCGGGUCUGCCGCCGCAGGCUGGUUUCGCGAACAGCUCGAUGCGGCCAAGCUGAGCAGCGGCGAUGUUGUGUUUCU